AAGGAGUCCAGCUAGAUACUUCUCCUGGAACCUGCUUGCUUGGGUCCCCACUGUGAAGUGCCCCCUAUUGGCUAGAAAGAGCCCCAAGGAGGAAUUCCAAGAUCAGAAUGGCAGAGCCCAGAUAAUCCUGACUCAUGGAGAGUUUUAGCUAGGGAAGGUGAGAGCUUUGGACAUCCUGAAAGUGGGAGGAUAUGAAAUGGACCCUUGCUCUCUGGUGGGCCUAGAUGUCCUCUGAAUCGCCAUCAGAAACCAAUUGCAUGCCUUGGUGCUUCCUGUGUUCGUGGCAGACGUUCACCUGGGGCACGAUAUCACAAACUGGUCCUCGGCUCCAACUUCUACUAUGACUUUAUUGACUAAUGUUUUCUCCUAGGAAGAAGAGAAGAAAAGUGGCUCAUGCCUUCAGAGCCUGACCUGGGAGCGUCCCCGUCAAGAGCCUAUCUCAGCCCAAGGAUUUGUCCUCAGCGGUGCCAGAAAAUCUGUUCCCUUGGCAAGGGAUGGAAACCGUAGCGUGACAUUCUCCUGGUAACCCUGCCAGGCCACAGGCAGCCAG
rnacentral:lncRNA from 1 species